ACUCCCAUCCCUGCAGAUAUUUCAAAGUACCUAGUGGGCAGGAAAUGGCCAAUGUCUAGCUCUGCUGUUGUAGUUAAGCAGCAUUGAACAAGCUGGGAAAGUGCUCUUCUCCUUGGUUUUUUCAUCUUCCCCAUGGGCAGCUCUAUUUCCACCAUGGAAAUUGAAGACAUACUGUAUGAAUGAUGCCUGCGCAGGCCCUGGCUCUAGCUGUGGGUCAGGGCCUAUUUGCUACUCUGAGCUCCCUUCCAAGCCUGGGGCUGACUCUGAGCAUCAGUACCAAGGAAGAUGCUCUAGCACACACCCACCAGUGUGGGGUGGACUGGGGAGGGCGUGGAGGUGGAUGGGCAGACGUGACUUCAGCUCUUGGCUCUGUAUGCACUGAAGGGCAGAAACCAGGCCAGGCUCAGAAUAUUCUACAGCUUAGUUUCCUUAUCUCUAGAGAGAAUAAUAUCUGCCUCUCAGGACAAUGGCAAGAAUUAAAUGCAAGCAAGUGCUAGCAUAUUGGAAGACAGAAGUUGUUUUUUAAAAAUAUUUAUUCUCUCCUGUCCUUCCCAGAGCAAAUGUUUCAACAAUGGCGUCAGAGUUGGGGUUGGGGAGGAAAGAGAGUUGGGGGAAGGAGCUGGUCUUCACACUCAUGGGUUGCUUUCCAGUUUAUGGAAUUCUUUAACAAAUCUACCCCUAUAUGACAAAUUUACAACAAUCUGAGGGGGGAGGUAUUAUUAUCACACCCAUUUUACAGACUUAGAAUCUGAGGCACUGUUGGCUUAAAAGAACUGCCAAGCUGCCCAGUUGGGCCUGCCAAAUGCCCCUAUAACCUUUAGUGGCAUUGUUCCUCACAAACUUCCCACCUGUUUGGGAAGUCCCAGUUAGGGUCCCUUAGGUUCAAAGCCAAGGCCAUAGACUUUGAGAACAUGCCCUAUUUGUUCAGGUUGUACUUAGAGAAAGGAGGCGGGCAUGGGGGUGAGGGCUUGACCGAGGAUUCCUUCCUUCUGCAGGUUCCUCUUUGAAGAUGAAAACAAUUCAACAACCUUCUUCUCCAUGCCUUUCAGAAUGAAUUUCUUCUUCUCCCGGAUUUUUCUUUCAAUUCUUGGCUGAAGUUUCAAGCUGUGAUCACUCCAGGAUUGCAGGAAUGAGUUUGCCCUUCUCUUCUGCUCUUGGAUCAUGUGAGGACACAGAGUUCCUUUCCCUGAAAAUGCACCAACGAGGCACCACCUUGGAAGUGGAGACCAGGCCCUUAACAGACACCAAACCUAUAGGAAUCUUGAUGUUGGAUCUCCCAGCCUCCAAAACUGUGAGAAAUAGAUUUAUGUUCUUUAUAAAUCACCCAGUCUGUGGUGCUCUAUUAUAGCAGCACAAAACAGACUAAGAUAGCAGGUACAUACGGACAAACGGUAUAUGAUUGUACACAGGUGAACAUGUACUUAAACAGAAUAUGGUAGUGCACAAGCAAACACAUGCAUAAACAGUACGUAGUCACACACAGGCUAAUGCAUACAUAGGCCAGAUCAUUUCCCACAUUGGCAGUACUAUGAAGGGGAUGAAGAUGGGCUCAGAGGAUCGGGAGUGGAUAGAGGUCCAGGGCAGUAAGAGCCACUGUAGAUGAGGUGGUCAGGGAAGGUGUCCCUGAAAAGAUUCCACCUGAACUGACACCAAAGGGCAGGGGUGGGCAGCGAUGAAAAGGGCCCCUCUCUCAGGCAGGGAGCAGCAAAUUCAUUAUCAUUGAGGCAGGACGCAGCUUAGCAUUGCUCAGGACAAUAUGAUCAGUGUGGCUGGAGAUCAGUGCACUUUCGGAGGUGACAUGGAUUGAGGUUAGGAAGACUAGCAGGUGUUGACUCCUCCAGGUCUUAAUUUAUAAGGGUAGCAGAUCUGAUAGGCUACUUGUGAUGUGGUGAGCGCCCCAUCAACUGGGCAAUGGAAAGAGGGGCUGGGUGACCACUGAUCAGCAAUGUCGGAAGUGGGAGAGAGUGAGGAAGAAAUUGAAGUGGAAUGCUUUAAAGCACUGUCCGUCUUUGACAUCAAGACACUCACUUUGCUGAGCUCAGAGACAUCUGAAGUUUAAUCACCUGCAGAUUUGAUUGAAUGUAUUUUGCCAAUAUUGAGGGACAGCCACCAUGAGGAGAAGUGCCAGUGCAGCUGCCAACUGAGGAGAGGCCAGGACCUCAGUACCAUGGAUACAGCAAAUGUGGACAGAGCCAGUGCCGUGGCUCAUUUAGAGCCAGAUGUGAAAGGCAGCUGGCUGUGCCUCCUUGCUUUGACUGCUGAAAACCAUAAAUAAAUACAUGUAAAAAGUUGGA
rnacentral:lncRNA from 1 species